AUUGAACGCUGGCGGAAUGCUUUACACAUGCAAGUCGAACGGUAGAGGGGGCAACCCCUUGAGAGUGGCGAACGGGUGAGUAAUAUAUCGGAACGUGCCCAGUCGUGGGGAUAACGUAGCGAAAGUUACGCUAAUACCGCAUACGAUCUAAGGAUGAAAGCGGGGGACUCGCAAGAGCCUCGCGCGAUUGGAGCGGCCGAUAUCAGAUUAGGUAGUUGGUGGGGUAAAGGCUCACCAAGCCAACGAUCUGUAGCUGGUCUGAGAGGACGACCAGCCACACUGGAACUGAGACACGGUCCAGACUCCUACGGGAGGCAGCAGUGGGGAAUUUUGGACAAUGGACGCAAGUCUGAUCCAGCCAUUCCGCGUGCAGGAUGAAGGCCCUCGGGUUGUAAACUGCUUUUGUACGGAACGAAAAGGUUUCUAUUAAUACUAGGAGCUCAUGACGGUACCGUAAGAAUAAGCACCGGCUAACUACGUGCCAGCAGCCGC
rnacentral:rRNA from 1 species